UUGUUCUCUUGAGAGCGGGGCGGACGGGUGAGUAAUGCCUAGGAAUCUGCCUAGUGGUGGGGGAUAACGUUCGGAAACGGACGCUAAUACCGCAUACGUCCUACGGGAGAAAGCGGGGGAUCUUCGGACCUCGCGCCAUUAGAUGAGCCUAGGUCGGAUUAGCUAGUUGGUGAGGUAAUGGCUCACCAAGGCGACGAUCCGUAACUGGUCUGAGAGGAUGAUCAGUCACACUGGAACUGAGACACGGUCCAGACUCCUACGGGAGGCAGCAGUGGGGAAUAUUGGACAAUGGGCGAAAGCCUGAUCCAGCCAUGCCGCGUGUGUGAAGAAGGUCUUCGGAUUGUAAAGCACUUUAAGUUGGGAGGAAGGGCAGUUACCCUAAUACGUUAUUGUUUUGACGUUACCGACAGAAUAAGCACCCG
rnacentral:rRNA from 1 species